rnacentral:rRNA from 1 species
UACGGAGGGUGCAAGCGUUAUCCGGAUUCACUGGGUUUAAAGGGUGCGUAGGCGGUUCCAUAAGUCAGUGGUGAAAUACGGCAGCUCAACUGUCGAGGUGCCAUUGAUACUGCGGAACUUGAGUACUGAUGAGGUAGGCGGAAUUGACGGUGUAGCGGUGAAAUGCUUAGAUAUCGUCAAGAACACCGAUAGCGAAGGCAGCUUACCAAGCAGUAACUGACGCUGAGGCACGAAAGUGCGGGGAUCAAACAGG